rnacentral:sRNA from 1 species
AUCUUCGGGACUGGGGUUCUCAAAAGUUUAGUGUCUUCUAUAUAAUUAACAUAUUGAUCAUGGUUUUUGUAUUGUAUUUCUUUCUCAUCUCUACAGGGAAUUUCAGAUAUAAAAUCAAGUCAGUGUCUUAAAGAUCACUUCGUUCUAGUUCGUAAAUUACUUAAUUCACUAUUAGCUACGUCCAAUGAUUGGGCUGUUUCACAAUUAUCUUUAAUAUUUUUACAUUUCGAAAAAUGAAAGAUUAAAGAUGAAUGGAAGGUGAGAUUAGUCGAUAUUGUUUUUCAAUGUGAUAAAAAGAAAUUAAGAAAUCACAGAUGAGUGGGCUUUCAGUAUUGUAGCGAAGGUAAGGAUGGAACGAAAUUUGAGGUGUGUUAUAAUAUAUUACUAGUAUUCAGGUCAAUUGAGCAUCAAUAGGUGACUUGCGGAGUAUAUAGAACUAAUACUGCACUUACCAACUCAGCAAGAAAAAUGUAUAUGCUCUGGACAAAGGUACCGAGCAUCAAGUGGCGAUGUGUAUCGGACUAUGUAACUCGUGAACAGUCCAUGUUCUAGCUAUUGGGCAUAUUUGUUUUUUUUUCCUUACGCAGAGCAUUUACUAUUAGCUGGUAUUCUGCUCUUGGUCUGUCUUCAUUUGCCGAAAGGUUUUCCAAUUGGAGGAAUCGACAAGGUAGUGACCAGAGCUAUUCUUCUGUCUCUGAAAACGCACCUGUAACGGUAGGCCCUGGUUCGCGGGACGUCUAGUGGCUGCUUGUCAGGAUUGUGUCAGGCGCGGUUGACAGAGCGCCAGCCGUCUUAUGUUCUUUUUUUUUUUUUUGUCCCUAAGAUGUGAAACAUUAUCACUGGCCG